rnacentral:rRNA from 1 species
AGUGAACGCUGGCGGUAGGCCUAACACAUGCAAGUCGAACGGCAGCACAGUAAGAGCUUGCUCUUACGGGUGGCGAGUGGCGGACGGGUGAGGAAUACAUCGGAAUCUACUUUUUCGUGGGGGAUAACGUAGGGAAACUUACGCUAAUACCGCAUACGACCUACGGGUGAAAGCAGGGGAUCUUCGGACCUUGCGCGAUUGAAUGAGCCGCUGUCGGAUUAGCUAGUUGGCGGGGUAAAGGCCCACCCAGGCGACGAUCCGUAGCUGGUCUGAGUGAAUGAUCAGCCACAUUGGAACUGGGACACGGUCCAGGCUCCUACGGGAGGGAGCAGUGGGGAAUAUUGGACAAUGGUCGCAAACCUGAUCCAGCCAGACCGCGUGGGUGAAGAAGGCCUUCGGGUUGUAAAGACCUUUUGUUGGGAAAGAAAAGCAGCAGGUUAAUACCACGCUGUUCUGACGGUACCGAAAGAAUAAGCACCGGCUAACUUCGUG